rfam:Trichinella spiralis unplaced genomic scaffold Scfld5447, whole genome shotgun sequence.
CGCACUGUGGUGGAUUCGUGCUGUUCAAUUUUUCAACAUGAUCGUCCUUUUUUGUGCUUAAUUGUGCAAAAUAAUAGAUGUAUGGGGACGCGCAGUGUGGUGCCGUUGAAUAGUCGCACUGUUCUCUCUUUCUCUUCGGGGUUGGAGGAACAAUUGUCGAUCAGUCGGUUUCGGAGCGUGCACACUGGUACCCGAAAGAUGGUGAACUAUGCUUGAGCAGAAUGAAGCCAGAGGAAACUCUGGUGGAAGUUCGUAGCGGUGUUGACGUGCAAAUCACUCGUCUGACUUGAGUGUAGGGGCGAAAGACUAAUCGAACCAUCUAGUUGCUGGUUCCUUCCGAAGUUUCCCUCAGGAUAGCUGGCAUUUGUUUGUAACAAUUUUAUCCGGUAGAGCGAAUGAUUAGAGGUGUUGGGAACGCAAUGUUCUCAGCCUAUUCUCAAACUUCGAAUGGGUAAGCAAGGCGUUUUGCUUUGAUUUUACGAUGAAAUCGCCCAAUUAGAAUGUAUAAAUGCCUAGUGGGCCAAUUUUGGUAAGCAGAACUGGCGAUGUGGAAUGAACCAAAAGUCAGGUUAAGGUGCCAGACAUUGGCGCUCAUGAAAUACCAGAAAAGGUGUUGGUCGAUAUAGACAGCAGGACGGUGGCCAUGGAAGUUGGAAUCCGCCAAGGAGUGUGUAACAACUCACCUGCCGAAUCGACUAGCCCUGAAAUGGAUAGCGUUUGAGCUCCAGGCCCAUACCUGACCGUCUCAAUUACGCACUUUUUUUUUUCGGAAAAGGUGUAAUGAACGUUGAAACGGGUAGGAAAGGUCGCGGACCGUGUGCUUUGACGAGGUUUUGA